rnacentral:rRNA from 1 species
AUUAAGCAUAUCAAUAAGCGGAGGAAAAGAAACCAACAGGGAUUGCCUUAGUAGCGGCGAGUGAAGCGGCAAAAGCUCAAAUUUGAAAUCUGGCACUUUCAGUGUCCGAGUUGUAAUUUGAAGAAGGUAUCUUUGGGUCUGGCUCUUGUCUAUGUUUCUUGGAACAGAACGUCACAGAGGGUGAGAAUCCCGUGCGAUGAGAUGUCCCAGACCUAUGUAAAGUUCCUUCGAAGAGUCGAGUUGUUUGGGAAUGCAGCUCUAAGUGGGUGGUAAAUUCCAUCUAAAGCUAAAUAUUGGCGAGAGACCGAUAGCGAACAAGUACAGUGAUGGAAAGAUGAAAAGAACUUUGAAAAGAGAGUGAAAAAGUACGUGAAAUUGUUGAAAGGGAAGGGCUUGAGAUCAGACUUGGUAUUUUGUAUGUUACUCUCUCGGGGGUGGCCUCUACAGUUUACCGGGCCAGCAUCAGUUUGAGCGGUAGGAUAAGUGCAAAGAAAUGUGGCACUGCUUCGGUAGUGUGUUAUAGUCUUUGUCGAUACUGCCAGCUUAGACUGAGGACUGCGGCUUCGGCCUAGGAUGUUGGCAUAAUGAUCUUAAGUCGCCC